AAAUUGGAGGCAUCUUUGUACUACUGGAGUCGAGUGGACCACCCGAUUGUGGCGGCGCUACUUGCGCAGUACAUUUUGAAACAGAAACUGGAAACUGCACACACACAAAAUAAAAAA
rnacentral:sRNA from 1 species